rnacentral:sRNA from 1 species
UCUAAAAAUGCUCUUAUACACGUUGUGCC